AAGGGCACCACAAGAACGCGUGGAGCAUGUGGCUUAAUUUGACUCAACGCGGGAAAUCUUACCGGGUCCGGACACACUGAGGAUUGACAGGCAAUAUUAUACUCGCAGUCUCACCGCGUGUAUAUGUUAAAUAUGCUAGUCCUUUCAUGAUUAUGUGAUAGGUGGUGCAUGGCCGUUCUUAGUUCGUGGAGUGAUCUGUCUGCUUAAUUGCGUUUCACUAAAGGGCUUAUACAUUUAUAUAUUUUACAUAUAUACUAUGCGCAUACACUUUACUGUGUGUGUGUGUAUGUGUGUGUAUCUCAUAUACUUAGGCUCUGAAAGCAACGAACGUGACCGCAACCUCUUGUUGCCUUAUAUAUACAACACUCUCAUAUGCACUUUAUUGUGUGUGUGUAGUGUAUGACGCCAAGGCUUUUUAAACUAGAGGGACCGCUGUGACAUUCUUUCAACCAGAGGAAGGUUGCGGCAAUAACAGGUCUGUGAUGCCCUUAGAUGUUCCGGGCUGCACACGUGCUACAAUGAUUAUUGCAGUGAGCAUCUCAUUUGAUUUAUACAUCGCUUGCGCGAGUACACGCGUAUAUAUAUAUUAUACUUUACGGUAUAUGUAUGUGUGUAUGUGUGUACUCUGCGCGCGAUUCAGCCUGCUCCGUUAGGUAGCGGGUAAUCAAUUAGAAGUAGUGAUUUCCUUUAUAUUUUUUGCACGACUAUAUACGGCGUCUUAUGCCCGGCUUAUACUUCGCUAUAGGUUUUGUGUUGCAUUCGAUGUAUAACCGUAUGUGCAAUUGUCAAUUCAUGGUGGGGACAGACCAUUGUUAAUUGUUGGUCUCGGUCUUAACUAGGAAUGCCUUGUACGGGUCUUUGGUUCAACAAACCACCCGGAAUACGUCCCUGCCCUUUGUACACACCGCCCGUCGCUCUUACCGAUGGAUUUCUCUGUGAGUUUGAGGGACUGGAUACACCACAUCUAUGGAAACUUAAACGAACAGUGUGAUCUAAAGGAAAGAGAAGUCGAACAAGGCA
rnacentral:rRNA from 1 species